GAUGAACGCUAGCGACAGGCCUAACACAUGCAAGUCGAGGGGCAGCAUGAAAUUAGCUUGCUAAUUUUGAUGGCGACCGGCGCACGGGUGAGUAACACGUAUGCAACCUGCCUGUAAGCGGGGGAUAACCCGGAGAAAUUCGGACUAAUACCGCAUAAUAUCAUCGAAUCGCAUGUUUUGAUGAUUAAAAUUUAUUGCUUACAGAUGGGCAUGCGUAUGAUUAGCUAGUUGGCGGGGUAACGGCCCACCAAGGCGACGAUCAUUAGGGGUUCUGAGAGGAAGGUCCCCCACAUUGGAACUGAGACACGGUCCAA
rnacentral:rRNA from 1 species